UACGAAGGGGCUAGCGUUGUUCGGAUUUACUGGGCGUAAAGCGCACGUAGGCGGAUUGUUAAGUGAGAGGUGAAAUCCCAGAGCUCAACUCUGGAACUGCCUUUCAUACUGGCAAUCUAGAGUCCGGGAAGAGGUAAGUGGAACUCCUAGUGUAGAAGGUGGAAUUCGUAGAUAUUAGGAAAGAACACCAGUGGCGAAGGCGGCUUACUGGUCCGGUACUGACGCUGAGGUGCGAAAGCGCGGGGAGCAAACAGG
rnacentral:rRNA from 1 species